rnacentral:lncRNA from 1 species
GAACCGUAUGUACCCGUGGCAAUCACAGAAAAUGAAGAACAAAGUGGGCAAUCACUUUUAGAGUUUCCACUCGAAAGCGAUGUAUGAGAAAUGGAGUGAAACUGGCAACGUGGAUCAUGUGGUAUACCAAAUAAUGACAAAACAUAUUACAAUUUGUGUGUACCGGGCGAUUUGAUGUAUGGACGCUUUGCCAGUUCAUCUUAGGGUUGGGUGGGUACAGGUGUGCUGGUUCAACGAAUGUACUCAGCUACAUCUGCUUCAUUUGCUCUCUUAC